AAGUAAAAUUUACACAUUGCAUUAUAACCAUAAAAUGCAGAGAAAACCCUGAGCUCAUGAUGAUUUAAUUACUACACACCCACCAUAAUGGAAAGUUUUAAAGAACGCUGAUGCUUAAGAGGGGUGAGAGUGUGCUUAAGAGGAAAACAGGAAGGGAAGGCUGAGUGUAGCACUGACACUAGGUUGUUCCACACUUUACUAUCCAGAAUGUGUUAAGGCCUAUAGGAUAAAACACCCUACCUCAGUGUUCAGAUGGCACUUUUCUCAGGAAGGAGCAGGGUCCUGGAGAACCAGGCACUCAAGAAAAGGGCUACAUGCGUCCCUAAUGAGAGAAGGCAGGCUUUGAAGGGCUCCCCCAGGGUCAGAGACAGCCGGGCCGGCUUCAACAACAGUGAAGUGGACUCCCAUUCGACUUCCAGAGCGCAGACAAGUGUUAGGCAGCUUUCUAGCCACAGGUAGAAAUAGUACUUGUGAAACUUUGUCUUUGAGGAGAACUGUCAGAAAUGCUGAAACCUGAGCAAUAGAAGGAGAAAGGAGGCAUGAGGAGGAGAGAAGCAAUUUUAGGAACACACAGAAGGAAAAGACAGAACCACCUGCAUGUGCUCAGUCUGAACCUUUACAAGAGAAAGAAGUGAACAAUCCUUAUCAAAACUUUAUACCAAAAAGAUUAGACUGUCACUGUAGACACAGAUCAGGACUGUAGUGAACACAAACUUUUUUCCAAUAGGGACAGUGUUGGGUUAUACCCGCAGGAGGUCCCAACAGAAGGAAUCACUUUCCUAGUCCUUUCUGUAUCAGCAACUAUCUGGACACCUUGUUUCUGGCUUCACCUAAGUGGUGAGUUCCUAGUCCUCAGGCCAAGUCCAUGGUUGUCUUGGUCCCUCAACUCAUUUUCAUGCACAAGAAUUGGCUCAUUCUGUUCAAAGUCCAGACAAAAACCUGACAGGGCAGUUGACAUUAUAAUUCAAGAAAUUAAAGCAUUAACAUUUCUGCUGAGAAAAGUUACCUUUUGGAGAUGAUCUGUUCUAAGGAAUAAACUCAAGUUUUAGAAUGAAGUAAAAGGUUUUGAGCUUCCGCUUCCUUGCCAUUCUUAGAACUUUGAAUAGAAAAGGGGAACGGGAUCAAUGGCAACUGUACAGAGAGGUGUAGCUGAAGGUAAGCUUAAGAGAAAAGGUGAUGGUAUGAAUAAAGGACCUGUAACAAAGUCCUGAAUCCCACUGCAGACUUAGGUGCCGGCAGGGCUCAGGAAGCAGGAUGCAAUGUGGGCCCACAUGUCUUUUCAGCCAAAGCCUUAAGUUCGGUCCACAGGGAACAGUGUUUGGAGCAGUCUCUAGGCCAAGAGGCAGAGCCUGUUUCUAUGGUCACUGAUGGUGGUUUGAUACUCGGAUGAAGAUUUGCCUCCCUGACCCUCCGAAGGUACCCAAAGCCGGUGUAUGUUGUUUGUAGGUACACCGGUCCCUUUCCCAUUACCUGAGUUCAGACUGACCUAGGAUGACUGGAACACAAGGGUCAGGCCCUCAUGGUUUUCAGGCAAUGACAUUAUCUGCCGUACGUUCUACAUAAGGUCCACUAAGACAGUUUUCCUACACAGGGACUUGGGUUUCACUUACUGACGCUGCCUGAACCGCCCACCCUCCGCCCCAAACACUGUUGCUUUUUAAUAGCAGGGAGCUUGGAAGCAGAUUCUGACUGGUAUCUGUCUUGCUCCUUGUUUUACCUGAUUUUCUGUGAUUCACAGUCAGUGAUAAGAUCUUUGAUUCAAGCUGAAACACCAGUUAGAAGUAACUAAGCCAUAUGCACCAAGACUGAUUUCCAAAGCUCACCUCCCACCAGAUACCAAUCAUGUGGAAUAUUACCAGGGCCUCCUCAUGCCAGAAGCUACCCGGACACCCUAGACUAUUGCACAACCUGCCUAGAUUCCUAGGAGACACAACACCCCUAGGAGAAGUUAGUGCUUUCCCUAGGUGGGGGCCUGAGCGUAGUCAGACUGGACCUGGGCAUCCCUGUGUUUUGAGAUCUACUGAUUGAUUGGCUUCUCUACAAAUUCCCGGGAUCCUGUUGGCUCCAAUUAGAAUGAUAGAGCUUAAGUGAAUUAGGAUCCCAAAUCCAGGUUGGGAUGCUUAAAUGUGCUUUUAAUAUUGCCAUCAGUCCCAGGUCACUAAGGUUUGUGAGGACUGGGGAAGAGAAGUUGCUAUAAAGGAUCACAUGAGUGACAACAUCUCAGUGGUCUGGAAUCAUGUAUUUAGACAAUUUCACUACUGUCUGGACCGAGAUUAACUUUGAAUAAGGUCAGAACAAUUUGCAGGAGGUUUCCUAUUAACUGGAGAACAAGUGUUCAAAAAAAUAUUCUUUAGGACAACGGGAUGAGGGGGGAAGAGAACAACUCUACACUAAGCUUGCAGGCAAGUUCAGGAAAAGUCAAUGGCCCCUUGAGAUAAAGGACAAGAACAGGACUGGGGAACAGAACUGAAGUCCCAUAGGUAAAGCCUACACAUGACCCAAACAUCUCACUGCAUCCUAGAGAGCCCCAAUAAGAAGGUUAAAGUUCAGUGGCCUUUGAAAGAAGGGAUGCAGUUUCUUGUGGAAGAACCUCAGGGUAGAAAUGAUUUUUACCUAUUCAAACGCAAAGCCUAGGAAUUUUGAAUGGAGCCACUGUAGGAAGACGGAUGCUGGAAGCUUUUGUCUGACACAGCCACAAUGGUACACUGGUGCAGAGGCUUGAGGACAGAUACAAGGUUAGUAUGUGUGGGGACGUUUUCUUCAGGGAUGCUUGAGAAUGAAAGUAAUAGAAGAAAAUUUCCCUGAACUAGAGAAUGAUUUGGAAGGGAAAUCCAGGAAGGAUUGGUAAAAUACCUCCAUGUAUCCUGAAAUAUUUGCUAAGUUUAACAGGGAAAACUUUAAACGAAAAUUUAGAGAAAAAAGCGGAUAUUUACAGUGAAAUACUGACUUUUCAGCAUCUGAUAUGCAAGAAUAGGAGGAAGACAACAGAAUCUCUUCCAAAUAGAGAUGCCAGUAGCUCUGAGUUAUCUGAUCUUCUAAGAUGGGGGCUCGGAACAAGAGAAGCCCUGAAGCUCGUCUGUGUUGUGUGACACCUCUCCCUGCUCCUUAUGCCCUGUAGAUCCACUGGAAUUGAAGGUAUGUUGGAGAGAGGAUGCUAAUGGAGCCUCUGGCAAGCCCCCAGACACGUGUCCUCUUCCUGUAUAACAGGUAUAGUCCACUUGAAAAGCCCCUGCGGGAUUGCUGCUGGAUCCUUUCAGGGCCCGAUGCACCACGCAGCUAUGCGACACAAGCGGCCCAUCGUGAACUCGGUGCCUGAUGAUCCCAGCAGCAAUCAAGUUUGGACGCGUGUAACAGAAAUCCCUCAGGUAGAACACUCCAAUCAGUCUUGGGCAAGUAAGGAAGGUGUUACAACCUGGGCUCUACCAGAAGCAGAUAUUUAAAGAGGUAUGCUUGCAGAAGGUUUAUUGGGGAGUAACGCCUGUGAUAUAAGAGGGAAAGAAGCUGGAUUGGGCAUGGAGAGCCCUCAGAACACCAUGCUAACCUAACAGUCUCUGCCAGCCCUACACAAAACUUCACGGCCUGUUAGCUCAGUCCAUCCUAGGGUGACAAUGAUAUCAUGGCAUACCAUCACCAUAUUGGAUCAUUGCUGGGAUCUGUCCUCAGAGGAACAUUCCCCUGGGCUUGUUGUUCACUCAUCUGCUAGAAGCCUCCCACAUGACCCCCCACCACCACUCAGGAACUGAGAGGUUCGUGUGGAAAAUACACUAGCUCCUUUUGCACCUCAGGUACGAGAAUUCCUAGGUAUAUUUUACCUUUCUGCAGUUUUCUUAGGUUAGUUUCCAGUGGUGGCUGGCAUAACACACCAUUACUGGAUGCCUUUCUCUCCACAUUUCACUUCCCUGUUUGACCAGCUUUCCCACAUCCCCCAAGUAAACUACUUGCAAUUAAAUUCACAUCAGAGACGCACUUUGAGAAACCAUAUGACACUUAUUCCCUAUGACAAGAGUAGGGCAAACCUUCCUGUUCACUUUAGAAAAAUGAGAACAAAGACUUCUCUCCACCCUUCAACACAAUCCUCCUUUACCAGUCCAGUGUUCUUCCAGGUACUCAUGAAAACUCAAUGAUUUCUGUCCAUCACUACCUGAUACACCACUAAUGCCUGGCCUAAGGGGUACUUAGGGAGCUUCUAACAGAAGAUUCAUUUACAGUGUUAAAUUCUCUUGGAGAGAAUCUAAGGGAGACAAGAACAAGAAGAUUCUCCCAAGAGAGGACACUUUCUUGCUCAGUGGAAAGUACAGGAUAGCAGAAUGUUAAAUGACUGUAUAUUAGUAAAAUCCACAUUGGAGGAUAAAACUCUUAAUGUGAUUGGACCUUAAAAUUUCAGUAGAAGUGAGGGGGAAAUAGUGGUGAGAAUUAUCAAGGAGCUCAGAAAAAUAUCAAAGUGACUUAGGAGUAAAGCAAGAGACAUCUAGUAAACCAAAAAGUCUAUCAGAAGGAAAUUAAAAUCUAGUAAAAAUUAGACACAUCCAAAAUAUUGAGCACAUUUACUUAAGGCUCAGAGCUAGACUGGCAAGUGAGCAUUGUACUUAGCAUUUAAGGACAACUAUGUUGAAAUAAAUGUUAGAGCAAGGAUCUGCUCUGGGAGUUCCUAGUGAGGUCCUGUUGAGCCAAGUUUUAGUUCACACAAAAGCUACACAGGGAAGAAUCCUGAGACAUCUAGAGUCCAUGCAAAGUUUGGAAGUUCAAUCAGAUCAAACCUGAAACCACCACCAAACAUUUAGUGAGAAGAAAGCCAGCUUUUGUUAAGUAGGAAAGGGAACCUGCCUCCCUUAGCAUGGGUGGUAGUGAGAAAAACUCAGAUUUGGGGCUAAAAUUAACUGUCAAAAGCAGCCACAAGUAGAAAAUUGAGCUGACCUGGGGGGGGAUUCAGGGAAAGAUGGCACAGGUAGCUUGGUAUGUCAUCACUACCAUCUCUAAGCCAGGUACCACUUCUUGGAAAAGAGACUUCCACUGGCAGUAACCACGUAGUUUCAGAGGGUGGCCAUUUUUUGGAAUACCCUGAGAACUACCUCAUUGCAUGAGAAGAUGCAGGAAAGAUGACGAUCUUUGGAGCAUGGUGGGACAGGUGCCAGCCCAUGAUGAAAGCCAUGGCUUCCAAUACGGCAGGAGCUCAUGAUCCCUAACAGAAGCAAAUGCAGAUAUGACUUGGACCAUUCUGAAACAGACUUAAUAUUUUGAAGUGGAAAUAUUUUGAAGAUAAAGCUUUGAAAAUGCCAAGAGCAACACCAUGACUAACGGAUAGCAGGAAAAACACAGUACACAGAAUCAGAAGUCACUCCUAGGAGUGGAAGACCCUCCUCCCUGAACUGAAGUGGACGCAUGCAGCAUAGAAGGUGGACUGCAGUGGCUGGAGAGGAGCACACCACUCAGAUCGCUUUCAAGGGACCCUCAUGG